AAAUAGUGUAGUUUUGCACUUUUUUAUAUCCAACGUUUGACCGUUUGUUUUAUUUGAAAAUUUUUAUGAUUAAUAUAUUUAUUGUUAUUAAGAUGAUAAAACAUGAAUAGUGCUUUAUCUAUGACUAUAUAUUUUUAAAAUUUUUUCAUAAAUUUUUUAAAUAAGAUGGAUAGUCAAACGUUGUACAUGAAACACACAAUUGCACUUAAA
rnacentral:pre_miRNA from 1 species